AACAGAUUUUCUGAUCUGCCUUCUGUGAUUCUUGGCUGCCUUGCUGUCUUCCUUACAGUCAUCAUUGUUGCUUUGGCUGCCAGGACAAUACAAACAGGUCAAACUGAGAGAAAGAAUCCACGACCCUCUGAGAACUUGGACCCUCAUUGUCUCAACUAUAUGGCGCUGAAAUCACAUCCCAAAGCAAAAAACUACACAAGGUUAUCAGACGAGAAAGAGCUGGAGACAGAUGUUCUGUACGCUGCAACAAGAGAAACUCAUUAAAAAUAAAUCAACCUGAAAUUGUUUUUAGAAGCUGUAAAAGUCAAGAAUGUGGUUCAAAGAUCGACUCUAAACUAAAUACCUAUUAUUAACUCUGACGUUGAGAGAUACAGAUAUAUUGGCUAAAGGUUCUCAGUUCCAAAUACAAACCGUUAUUUUCCACUACAGCAGAAGAAAGAGCAAAUAAACCUUUCAGCUGUUCUGCUUCUGAACUCUGUUACAGAUUUACAAAACAACGUAUUUUAGUUCUGUAGUAACUAA